rnacentral:tRNA from 7 species
GGAGAGGUGGUCGAGUGGUUUAAGGCAACGGUCUUGAAAACCGUCGUGCGUGGAAGCGUACCGUGGGUUCGAAUCCCACCCUCUCCGCCA